rnacentral:tRNA from 1 species
GCCUGCUAGCUCAGUCAGUAGUGCAUGAGACUCUUAAUCUCAGGGUUGUGGGUUGGAGCCUCACAUUGGGCA